rnacentral:rRNA from 1 species
AUUAAACUGGCGAACGGGUGAGUAACGCGUAGGUUAUCUGCCCUUUUCACCGGCAUAACAUCGAGAAAUCGUUGCUAAUACCGGAUGAGGUCCCUCGGGAUCAAAGCUUCGGCGGAAAAGGAUGAGCCUGCGUCUGAUUAGCUAGUUGGUAGGAUAAAAGCCUACCAAGGCAACGAUCAGUAACUGGUCUGAGAGGACGAUCAGUCACACUGGAACUGAGACACGGUCCAG